GCGGCGGCGCGGGCCCGGCCCGGCGCUUGCGGCUGGGAGGCGCUGUGGGGGAUGGGCGCGCGGGCGACGGCCGGGGCCAUGGCCUAGGUCGGCGGGAGCGCGCGGAGGAGGGCGCCGGCGCUGCUCCAGGCGGCCUGCGCGCUCUACGAGAGCCUGCACAUCUGGGACGACGUGUUCGGCGAGUCAGGCCUGGACAGCGGCGGGAACCCCUUCUACAGCACAUCCGCCGCCUCGCGCUCCUCCUCGGCCGCCUCCUCGGACGACGAACACGAGCGCCCCGGCCCCCCGCUGCCUCCCGACGCCCCCGAAGCGCAGGAGUCCGACGAGGACGAGGCCAGCGCGGGUUGGAGUGCCACGCUGCGGGACCGCCCGCCCCCGCGCUUCGUGGACACUGGCGAUGUGUGGAGGGCCAUAGCUGACUUGGAUGCAUUUGGAGUCAUCUCACGGCACAUGGAAUACACAAUUUAUCUUGCUUCCUGUCUUGAUAACGACAUCUUGGUUUUCAUGCUGUCUUAGAACAAGAAGAACUUGACUUACAUAGGUAGAGACUGAUGCAAAGGGAGAAGUUUGGUGGUUCUCCACUGGCCACAGCUAAGCUAGCAAAAAGCAAAAAGCAGAGCCUGCAUUGGAACCAGGCACUGUGGCUCCAGACCCCAACUCUUUACCCUUGGGCUUCUUGCAGCACGCCUGAUUUCUUGUCACUAAGAACUUGGUGUAGGAGUUUAACGGUAAGAUCUGAAGGAGUCAAUGUGUUUCUUCUGUAGCUUCAAGCACUUCAGACAAACUUUGCAGAAGAGCAGGUGCUGAUUUUUGCUUGCCUCGUGCCUGGUUUCCCAGCGAUUAUGUCAUCCAGAGGGACCUGCAUGGUGGAGACACUCAUCAGUCCUAGCCCUGGUGUGGCGGAUGGUGAGGAACAUUUUAGCCAGCCUUACAGGUUGAAAUGACUCUGGAAGUUCUCUUGAGGGAUUCCUCAGCUUGUCAUGAUCCGGAAUAGAACCCUUUAUUUCGUAGAUGGGUUUGGAGGAGGAAUUAUCCCCUGCUCUUGUUCACAGUAAUGUCUUACAGACAUUAGAAUAGAAAGAAUCAGAGCCUUUUUUAUAUGCAAUGAGGACGGGAGACAUUUACUGAAGUGGUGGAAACAGGAAUGGAAGGGAGGACUCAGAUGUUGGAAACAGCAGGAAGUGGAGACACA